GCCCCCGUCAUCGUGGGCUCACUGGCCCUCAUUCGGCCUCACUGAGACUCAUGAUCGCUUUACGUUUUCUCCUAAAGCGGGUGUCGCAGGUUCGAAUCCUGCCGGGGGCACCA
rnacentral:tRNA from 1 species